CCUACGGGUGGCAGCAGUGGGGAAUAUUGCGCAAUGGGCGAAAGCCUGACGCAGCGACGCCGCGUGAGGGAUGAAGGUCUUCGGAUCGUAAACCUCUGUCAGCAGGGAAGAACGGUCACUGUGCUAAUCAGCAGUGAAUUGACGGUACCUGCAAAGGAAGCACCGGCUAACUCCGUGCCAGCAGCCGCGGUAAUACGGAGGGUGCGAGCGUUAAUCGGAAUUACUGGGCGUAAAGCGCUCGUAGGCGGUAGGUCAAGUCAAGGGGGAAAUCCCCGCGCUCAACGUGGGAACUGCCUUUGAAACGGGCAAACUGGAGUGAGUGAGAGGAUAGUGGAAUUCCAGGUGUAGGAGUGAAAUCCGUAGAUAUCUGGAGGAACAUAAGUGGCGAAGGCGACUAUCUGGCACAUAACUGACGCUGAGGAGCGAAAGCGUGGGUAGCAAACAGGAUUAGAUACCCCUGUAGUC
rnacentral:rRNA from 1 species